CACAUGAGGCAGCCGCUGGCAACCCCAGAGGAAAGUCCAUGCUCGCACUGUCUGCGAUGACAGUAGUGUCUGUGCUGGUCCAAUCAAUAAGGCCAGGCAUCCGCAAGGAUGACGGCGGAACCCGAUACCUAAAGAUCUUAUGAUCCAUGGCAAGGGACCCCAAGGUGUCACAGUGACGAAGUCUGUGCGGAAACGCACGGAGUGGAACGCGAUAAACCCCUCAGGCGAGAAACCCAAAUUUGGUAGGGGAACCGGAGAAGGUGAAAUGAAACCACGAUCCGGCUGCAUAAGCAGAGAUAAAUGGCUGCCGCACCGCAAGGUGAACAGAACAUGGCUUAUGAUU
rnacentral:RNase_P_RNA from 1 species